rnacentral:rRNA from 1 species
AUGGCAUACAUCAACGUCAAAGAAGACCAAGCCCCAAAAUAUUCACUCACCGAAAAACAGCAGCAGAGACGGCAGCAGCGACAACGACUAAAAAGCUACAAGACAAAAACAACGGUAGCGGUGAUGAACUCCAAAAGAGAAAACGGGAAGAUGCCCAGAAAUCUCCACUCAGCAAAGAACAAGCACAACAGUCAGCAGCAGCAACGAGAACAGAAGCAGAGUCAACAGAAGGGCCAUCUCCGAGAGGUCAGUGUCAUCCAGGUCGAGACUGAAAAACAAGAUGGAAAAGACCACCAGCAAGACAUAACGGUUGACAAGGAAAAACAUGAUGCUAAGAAAAGCACAGGUGACUCAAAUAAAGAUGGAGCAGAAACUUAA